CUCAUUUAAUAGGUCACAUGGUAGGGAGUCUGGAGGAAGGUUUUGGUCUGUUGUGGUUUCUUUAGAUGCUGACUCUUCAGUAAAAGCCAAAGAGCUAUACAUCAGAAAAAUAAAUAAACAAACGGAGUGACCAGAAGAUAUACCUGAAAUCAGGAUGCAACGGCGCCAAGAAGAGCUAGCUGGUGACACUAUAAAACGAUUAGCCAUCUGCUUAAAUGACACUUCCAUUUAAUUAGGCACAGACAACUUAGCUUUAUUCAUUAAUUAUUAAAAAAUAACUUUGAACAGGAGAAUAAUGCUUUCCCCCGUACACAGAAUCUGUGCUUGCAAAUCACAGAAUCCCAGCGGUUCAAAAUGGAAAUGUGUUUGCUGGCAACCUUAGCAGCUCUCCUCUGCCAAUGUGUGAGUACUCAGCAUCAGAUUUUCUGCAUCUGGGAUUCCCAGCUCCAUUGGCUGGGGAACCACUGGCAGCAGUGGAUGCAGCAGCCCCUCGCUGGGUGCAUGUGGCUCUCCAGGUGCCACCCACGGGGGACACCCUCAGUGUCACCCACAGCGAGCCCUGGGCUGCCUUGCCCUGGGAUUCAUUUAGCCCGGGCUGAGACACAACGACUCAAAGGUGUCUGGAGGCCAGUAGGCCCAAACCCCACCGUCUUUGGUUGCACAGAGAUAAAUACCACUCUUCUGAAAUUCACGUUUUCUCCCGCUUCUGGAAAAUAAUUCUGUGACCAUCUCUCUGUUCCAAACAUGGUUACGUUUAUCAAAAUUCGCUUUAUACUUAGAAACUGGGUUGUUGUGUUCUAGCAUUUUGAACUGUUUGUCUUCAAGUCCUUUGGAGUAUUGCACAGAUCCCUGGAAAGACCUGGAUCUAGGAAAGUGAGUAAAAAUUGCCAAACAUCACUUCCGUUCCACCAGAACUCCAAAAACAACAACAAAACAAAUAGUUUGAGUUCCACUUGGAUUCUUCUCCAAUUAUUUCUUACUGGAUGGGGCCCAAAGAGCCUAAUGUCCCAAGGACUUCACAAAUCCAGUAAAAUACUCACUCAGCCCAGCCCACGUGCUACCAACUGCCUCCCCCAGACAUAUGGUGAUGUUUUUUGCCUAUCACUGUAUAAGGUUGGAGCAGGGCAGAAAUGCUUCCCCCUCCUGCUCAACGGAAUAAGUGCGAUAGUUCUUCUAAAUUAAAACAAAACAACUUCUACUCGGGAGCGUGACUAAUGCGAUGUAACCCAAGUGACUUUGGAGAUAUUGCCAGGGAAGCAGAGGCUGCUUUGGCUCCUCUGGCUUGUGCAGCUGCAGACUGUGACCUGCAUUUCUGUCCCUGUGGCUCACAUCUAACGCCCCCCACCAAAGGCUGAUGUCUCAGAGUGCAUGGUCAGGCAUGACGCUGUCAGAUGGAGACUGGACAUCACAAAUCCUCUUGAAAAUCACUGUUGAGUUUUCAGUACAUGUUGCUGUUGCCUGGGAUGGAAUCCUCUUAUCUCUUCCAGCAGUGACGCCCCUCCAACAGCUGCCAGUCACACUGGGUGGCCGAAGAAGAGAGAUGGCAGGGAUGGUGCUUACACUAAAAUUUUGCAUUAUUUUUCUCCUUACUGACACUUGUUUACUCUGGUCUUACCUCCAGUAGUCUCGUUUGCCUCAGAAAUGCUCUAUGCAGAGAUUGUCACUGCAGCCAUUUAAAUCCUUUUGCUGCUGGAAAUUAAAAGGACAAUUGCAAUAACUCUGCUUCAUGGGCAGAAGAGCAUUGUGUCAGGACUGGGCUGCUGCUGGGAGAUGGUGUGGGGAGAGGCUGAGGGGCAGGGCAGGGUCUCUGCUGGAGCAGGGAGUUGUGGCCGUGCACAGGGACAGAACAUCACCCAGCUGCAGGGAGAGUUCCCUUCACUGAAACUGCUGAGUUCCUCCCAGGGCACUUACUGCCUCAGUCUGGGAAAGCAUAACCACCCUGUGCCUUUGCAAAGCUCCCAAAUUCUGUGUUGUUGAACCACCUCUGUCAGUGGUCUGAUCAGCCCAGGCCAUGUGGUUGCAAAGAACAGCUGGAGCACAGGAGACUUAUGAAUAAAUACAAAUUGUGGGAAAAGGUUCAGCCUGCCUUAAGAGCUGCUGCUGCUCCAGAGAAUGAGUGGCUCCCUCCUCUGCAGGUUUCGUGACUUAGCUCUGCUCCCUCAGCAUUAUAUUAAAUAUUUGGGUUUUUUAAA